rnacentral:tRNA from 1 species
GCCGUGGCCUACUGGUUAGCGCUUCGGACUUGUAACCGGAGGGUUGCCGGUUCGAACCCCGACCUUAAGCA